rnacentral:lncRNA from 1 species
GUCCGGAAGUGAGAAAAAUUUGGGGUGGUGGCUGGAAAUUGAUGGAAACAGUGGCAAAAAACACACAAACUGGACUGUAACAAGACCUAACCAGAAAUAAUACCUCGACCAGGACACAAACUCAACACUACGGACUAUGGCACUAGACUUAUGGGACGAACACAAGGACACUUGAAACUAAGGGUAGAUGUGAACCUAACGAUAUGUCUGAUGGUUUGAUUACCACUUGAGGAGAACAAGUGUGGCCCGAUCUUCCGAAAGUUUCUCGUAACUAUCGAUUUGGUGGAAACGAGAGACAUCAAUCCAGUUUGCGAACAACACAAUUCGAAACCCUGCAAUUCUUUUUAUUUUUUUGAUAUUUUUCUUUUAGUUAGGAGC